AUUGAACGCUGGCGGCAAGCCUAACACAUGCAAGUCGAACGAGUGGCGGACGGGUGAGUAAUGUAUGGGAAACUGCCUGAUGGAGGGGGAUAACUACUGGAAACGGUAGCUAAUACCGCAUACCAUCAGAUGUGCCCAGAUGGGAUUAGCUUGUAGGUAGGGUAAAGGCUUACCUAGGCGACGCUCCCUAACUGGUCUGAGAGGAUGACCAGCCACACUGGAACUGAAACACGGUCCAGACUCCUACGGGAGGCAGCAGUGGGGAAUAUUGCACAAUGGGCGCAAGCCUGAUGCAGCCAUGCCGCGUGUAUGAAGAAGGCCUUCGGGUUGUAAAGUACUUUCAGCGGGGAGGCGUUACCCGCAGAAGAAGCACCGGCUAACUCCGUGCCAGCAGCCGCGGUAAUAC
rnacentral:rRNA from 1 species